CCUUAAUAAGAACAUCCCCUAAAUAAAACAAACACUAAACUAGAGAAGGAGGGUAGACUGCCUCUAUUCCUGGCUAAAUCCCAGGGAUUAUUUUCCCCAUAACCAUGGAUUCGCCCUAGCUAAAGAUCCAGCCAUUGAGGAGGUCUUCUGUCUCUAGGUGGAUAACGGUGCACUUCUGGUGUUGUUGCACCCGAAAAUGUCUUGGGCGCAGGCCUGACAAUGGGCUUAGUGUUCGAAGCACGAAUGGGUGAGGAUCUGGUAUCAGCUCGUUCCGGGCAGGGGGUAAUCUCAGCUGCCAGCAGUAAUGAAGGGGAACAGUCAGGAACAGGUGACUCUUGAUUUCGGUGUCUCGCCAGAAGUGAAGUCAGGCAACUCAACUGAAGAUGUGUCCUGAGGACUAGUCUGACCUGGCAACAGCUGAUCUACAUGUCGCCGCCAGUGACCAGGAUGUCGUCCUGAUAGCAAUGGACUCCUGGCAAGCCACAAAGAUCUGGUCCAUAGCCCUCUGGAACAGGGUGGGAGCAGACAUUAUUCCGAAAGCCAGGCCCGCAAAGAGGUCAUCGAUGUGAGGAAGCAGGUAUUGCUCUGCAUGCAACACCGGGUUGACAGUGACUUUAAAAUCAUCGCAAAUCUGGAGGGAGCCAUCUUUCUUCACUACUGGAAUGAUAAGAGUUGCCCAUGGGCUAUGGGUAACUGGUAUUAGGACUCCAUUUGUGACCAGGUGCUCCAGGUCCACUUCAACUUUCAGCCUGAUGGCAUAUGGCACAGUUUUGGCUUUUAGACAUUUUGGUUGACUGUCAGGUUUAAUGUUCAGUGUCACAGUGAUUCCCUUCAUACUUCCCACAUCCUCUCCAAAAACAGCAGCAUGUUUCCUUAGUAUAGCGGUCAGACCGGUUUCUUCUUUAGUCAUUCGGUGCACUUCUGCCUAGUUCAGCUGAAUCAUCCUAAGCCAAGACCUACCCAUUAAGGCUGGGUAAUUGCCUCUCACCAUGAACAGUGGCAAUUUAGCAGUCUGUCCAUUGAGCUCCACCUUAACAUCAGUAGUGCCCAACAUGGGCACAGCUUCUCCCAUAUACGUCUUCAGAACAGUUUUUUUUCUUGCCUUAAGCAGAAGAUGCUGUAGCUUUUCUUUAUACACAGUCUUGGAGACCAGUGAGAUGGCUGCUGUUGUCAGAGUGUUACCGUUGUGGUGCUCUGCUUUCUCCAAUGUUGAUAUCACUCGGCUGCGUGCGUGUGUUCCCUCCGUGUGCUGCCCCAGCUCUGCGCAGAUAGCUGACACAGCAGACCCGACGAGAACCCCCA